AGCGGCCUGCCUCGCGUUGCCGGGGAAACGGCCAGGAGGCGUUGCCGGGUAACUGCCUGGAGGCGGUGGCCGCCGUGCAGGUCGGGAGCGCGCCGCGGAGCAGACGAGCGGCGGUCGUGGGCCAGAGAGGCCCUUCCGUGGUCUCGCCGUCUCCUGGCGGCCGGAGGAGCGCAAUGCAGCUGAAAGGCGCCGAGCCCACCAGCGAGAUGGGCCCGCAUGGGCUAGAGCGGCCCGGAACGCUGAGGCGGGACUUCCGGCGGGUUUGUGUGGGACCCGGGAAGUCGGGUCAGAUGUGCGUUGGGGCCUUGGCAGGAUGCUCCCUUUCCACCAGACUCGGAGUCCGGCGGUAAGGGUCUGCACCGCUUAUGCUCCCUGGGGCCCUGCCGAGCGGCGCCGGCCCGGGUUCGCACCUUCCCGGGGCCGUCUUUUUCCCCACGGCCAGCCCUCAGGGUGUGCGACGGCGCCCACGGCCUGCUCUGGCCUCCUGGUCCGCGCCCUCGAGUGUUUCUGCGCAGCCCCAGGCGCCACGGCCGAAAUCCGCCAGGCCACUGGUGUCACAGUAGAGUGAAGAAGGAGUUUGGAGCUGAGACAGUAACUACUUAACUGGUCAAAUAUUUUAGUUUUUAGGUGUUUAUUUUAUUAAAAUACUAGUGGCCUGGUGCACGAAUUCGUGUACAUUGAAAGGGAAUUAAUUAGAAGAAGUAUUUUAAUAUCGCUAUUCGCCUUUUCUCUAUGAUGGAAGUGUCAACCAAGUUCACGAUCCACGACGACAAAUGGAAACUCACCCAUGCUCGAGUCAACUUAGUCUUUUCUAGGUAAUUGUCAGCAACGCAUCAGUAAAUGUCAACACGAAGCAGAUUAUCAUUGUAGAUCACACAGGGAGAACAAAGGGUUUGUGCAACUGUUACAUUCUCGCGGUUUACAGGGAAGGGCAGCAGGAAGAGUUGCAGAACGGCGGGUACAGAACAAAAGAAACAUUAUAGUAACAAAAAGAACUUCAUGGAGUCAACCUAGUUUAGCUCUAUCAGUACAUACUGGUAACAUGAUACUUCUGAGACAGUAGUACCAAUUUCCCCAUCUUAUGGGACCACGUGACUAGUGUGGGCCCACCGCCUGUAAGUGGAAGUGACGGCCCACCUCCUGGUGGUCGUGCACAUCAUAGUGACCGGUUAUUCCACAGGUCAUUCCGCUGUUUGGUCCAUUUGCAUAUUAGGGUUUUAUUAUAUAGGAU